rnacentral:rRNA from 1 species
AAUAGUCAUAUACUUGCCUCAAAGAUUAAGCCAUGCAUGUGUAAGUAUGAACUAAAUUAGACUGUGAAACUAAAAUGGCUAAUUAAAUCAGUUAUAGUUUGUUUGAUAGUAUCUAUUACUCAAAUAAUUGUAGUAAUUCUAGAGCUACUAUAUACAACAAACCCUGACUUUUGGAAGGGAUGCCUUUAUUAGAUAAAAGGUUGACAUGGCCUUUGCCUAUUACUCUGAUGAUUUAUGAUAACUCGACGAAUCACACACAUUUUAUGCUAGUGAUACAUCAUUCAAAUUUCUACCUUAUCCACUUUCGAUGGUAGGAUAGUGACCUACUAUGGUGGUGAUGGGUGAUAGAGAAUUAGGGUUUGAUUCCAGAAAGGGAACCUGAUAAAUGGCUACCAUAUUCAAGGAAGGCAGCAGGCAUGCAAAUUACCCAAUCUUGACAUGGAAAGGUAGUGAUAAUAAAUAACAAUAUUGGGCUUUAUGAGUCUGAUAAUUGGAAUGAGUACAAUCUAAAUCCCUUAACAAGGAUCCAUUGAAAGGCAAGUUUUGAGCUAGCAGCCAUGGUAAUUCCUGCUCCAAUAGCAUAUAUUUAAGUUGUUAUAAUUAAAAAGCUCAUAUUUAGAGCAAGGUUAGGUUAUUCAAUCCGCCUCACUAUGAACACCAAUCUACUAGUCCUAUUGUUGGCGAUGUGCUCUUGGCCUUAAUUGACCAAGUUGUUCCCCCGACAUUGUUAAUUUGAAAAAAUUAGAGUGCUCAAAUCAGGCCUACGCUUGUAUUCAUUAGCAUGGGAUAACAUCAUAGCAUUUCGAUCCUAUUGUGUUGGCCUUCGAGAUUGGAGUAAUGAUUAACAGGGACAAUCAGGGCAUUCGUAUUUCAUAGUUAGAGGUGAAAUUCUUGGAUUUAUAAAAGAUGAACAACUACAAAAGCAUUUGCCAAGGAAAGAUGAACAACUACAAAAGCAUUUGCCAAGGAAAGAUGAACAACUGCAAAAGCAUGUGCCAAGGAUGUUUUCAUUAAUCAAUAACAAAGUUGGAGGCUCGAAGAUUAUCAUAUACCAUCUUAGUCUCAACCAUAUACGAUGCCAACUUGGGAUCAAUAGAUGUUACUUUUAGAAUUUUACUAGCACCUUAUGAGAAAUCAAAGUCCUUGGGUUUCAAAGAGUAUGGUCAUAAGGCUAAAACUUAAAGGAAUUUAUGGAAGGACACCACCAGGAGUGGAGCCUAUGGCUUAAUUUGACUCAACACGAGGAAACUUACCAAGUCCAAACAUAGUAAGGAUUGAUAGAUUGAGAGCUCUUUCAUAAUUCUAUGGGUGGUGGUGCAUGGCCAUUCUUAGUUAGUGGAGCAAUUUGUCUGGUUAAUUUUGUUAACGAAUGAGACCUUAGCUUGCUAACUAGCUACAUGGUGAUCCUUCAUGGCCAGCUUCUUAAAGGGACUAUGGUUGCUUAGGCCAAGGAAGUUUGAGGUAGUAAUAGGUCUAUGAUGCCCUUAGAUGUUUUGGGCCGCACACACUUACACUAAUGUAUUCAACGAGUCUAUAGCCUUGGCUGACAAGACCAAGUAAUUUUUUAAAUUUCAUCUGAUGGGGAUAGAUCAUUGCAAUUGUUAGUCUUUAGCAAAGAAUUCCCAGUAAGCACAAGUCAUCAGUUUGUGUUGACUACAUCUCUGCUCUUUGUACACACUGCCCAUCGCUCUUACUGAUUGAAUGGUUCGAUAAAGUGUUCAAAUCAUAGUGAUAUGGAUGGUUUACUACCCAUGACAUCAUGAGAAGUCCACUGAACCUUAUCAUUUAGAGGAAGGAGAAGUCAUAACAAGGUUUUCCAUAGGUGAACAUAUAGAAG